UACGUAGGGCGCAAGCGUUAUCCGGAAUUAUUGGGCGUAAAGAGCUCGUAGGCGGUUUGUCGCGUCUGCCGUGAAAGUCCGGGGCUCAACUCCGGAUCUGCGGUGGGUACGGGCAGACUAGAGUGAUGUAGGGGGAGACUGGAAUUCCUGGUGUAGCGGUGGAAUGCGCAGAUAUCAGGAGGAACACCGAUGGCGAAGGCAGGUCUCUGGGCCACUACUGACGCUGAGAAGCGAAAGCAUGGGGAGCGAACAGG
rnacentral:rRNA from 1 species